UAAACAUAGAUGGUACCCUACACCCACCAUCCGCCUGGGAACUACGAGCACCAGCUUAAAACCCAAAGGACUUGGCGGUGCUUAAGAUCCACCUAGAGGAGCCUGUUAUAUAACCGAUAAUCCCCGUUAAACCUCACCCCCUCUUGCCCAUUCCGUCUAUAUACCGCCGUCGUCAGCUUACCCUUUGAAGGAAACAACGUAAGCAAAACUGGCAAAACCUAAAACGUCAGGUCGAGGUGUAGCAUAUGAGGGGGGAAACAUUAUGGGCUACAUUCACUAUAGUAGUGAAUCACGGAAAAUGCUGCUGAAACGCACAUCUGAAGGAGGAUUUAGCAGUAAGUAGGAACUAGAGUGUCCCACUGAAACCGGCCCUGAAGCGCGCACACACCGCCCGUCACUCUCCCCAAGCUGAGCCUUAUUACAUAACUAAUACCUAACACCUGCAUAAGGGGAGGCAAGUCGUAACAUGGUAAGUGUACCGGAAGGUGCACUUGGAACAAC
rnacentral:rRNA from 1 species